GUCCAGCCGUAAACUUUAAAUUACCCCAUACACCGCCAGGGAACUACGAGCUAAGCUUAAAACCCAAAGGACUUGACGGUACCCCAUGUCCCUCUAGAGGAGCCUGUCCUAUAAUCGAUAACCCCCGUUUAACCUCACCAUUUUUAGCUAAUCAGUUUGUAUACCUCCGUCGCCAGCUUACCACGUGAGCGAAGUAUAGUGAGCUUAAUGUCCACACGCCAACACGUCAGGUCAAGGUGCAACAAAUAAAAUGGAAAGAGAUGGGCUACACUUUCUAAUGUAGAAAAUACGAAAAACUAUUUAUGAAAUUCUAGUUUGAAGGCGGAUUUAGUAGUAAAAAGAAACCAGAGUGUUCUUUUUAACAAGGCCCUGGGGUGUGUACACACCGCCCGUCACCCUCUUCAAAGCUAUUUAUUAGUUGUUAACAAAACUUUGCACUAUAGAAGAGGCAAGUCGUAACAUGGUAAGUAUACCGGAAGGUGUGCUUGGAAU
rnacentral:rRNA from 1 species